rnacentral:rRNA from 1 species
GGGUGCGAUCAUACCAGG